UACGGGAGGCAGCAGUGGGGAAUUUUGGACAAUGGGCGCAAGCCUGAUCCAGCCAUUCCGCGUGCAGGAUGAAGGCCUUCGGGUUGUAAACUGCUUUUGUACGGAACGAAAAGGUUCUCUCUAAUACAGGGGGCUGAUGACGGUACCGUAAGAAUAAGCACCGGCUAACUACGUGCCAGCAGCCGCGGUAAUACGUAGGGUGCAAGCGUUAAUCGGAAUUACUGGGCGUAAAGCGUGCGCAGGCGGUGAUGUAAGACAGAUGUGAAAUCCCCGGGCUCAACCUGGGAACUGCAUUUGUGACUGCAUUGCUGGAGUGCGGCAGAGGGGGAUGGAAUUCCGCGUGUAGCAGUGAAAUGCGUAGAUAUGCGGAGGAACACCGAUGGCGAAGGCAAUCCCCUGGGCCUGCACUGACGCUCAUGCACGAAAGCGUGGGGAGCAAACAGGAUUAGAUACCCCUGGUAGUCCACGCCCUAAAGCGAUGUCAACUGGUUGUUGGGAAUUUACUUUCUCCA
rnacentral:rRNA from 1 species